UGGAGCAUUUAUGGUGGAUCAUUCUAAAUUUGGUUGUAUCCCUAAAGCAUGCUCCUAAAGUGAUGAAUUGGCUUUCGAUGACUACAUAGUACGAGUCCUACUGUGUGGACAGAUACGGGUCAAACAUUU
rnacentral:sRNA from 1 species